AUAAAAAGACAACGUCAUUCUACAAAUUGAAGUUAUAUAUAUAUUAUAUAUUAUACAAUAUUUAAUAGGAGCAAUGGUUCUUCUAACGGUACUACUACGGUGAAUUCUGCCUACAAUUAUGCAUCCGUAAGGGUAUAUGCGGUAAAGUUGCUCAUAAUCAUGUGCCCGACAACAUAUUC